rnacentral:rRNA from 1 species
UACAGAGGGGGCAAGCGUUAUUCGGAAUUAUUGGGCGUAAAGGGCGCGUAGGCGGCCUGGCAAGUGGAAGGUGAAAUCCCUCGGCUUAACCGAGGAACUGCCUCCCAAACUGCUUGGCUUGAGACCGGGAGAGGUGAGUGGAAUUCCCAGUGUAGCGGUGAAAUGCGUAGAUAUUGGGAGGAACACCAAUAGCGAAGGCAGCUCGCUGGGACGGUACUGACGCUAAGGCGCGAAAGCGUGGGGAGCAAACAGG